rnacentral:lncRNA from 1 species
UUUGGGUUUUUGAUCCUCAUUUAAGUUGUGGUCUUUUUAUACACAGAUUAGCCUUUAGUCAGAAGACAGCAACAGCUGUUUGUGAAACAGUCAAAUCAACAACCAUCAAGACAACCUAGAACUUCAAGGAUUUUGACAAACCGUGAAAURUUGCUCGUGGAAACAACAGAACAGAAGAAUCACUGGCUUAUCUGUAUUCCACACAGUAAGCCAAUGGCAAGGUCUGCAGACACAGGCAUUCCUGUGUUCAGGAAUUUUCACACUAAGAGCAUCACUUCUGAAGUGCAACACUACAGCUUACAAUAACCUACCACAGAUCAAACUGUGCAAUUCGAGUGCAACUGGUAGAGUAUCAUGCUUCGUAUUUUUUUCAUAAUUAGUU